ACCUAACCGGUCCAACCUCCCACCCGUGUCUAUCGUACCUUGUUGCUUCGGCGGGCCCGCCAUUCGUGGCCGCCGGGGGGCAUUUCGCCCCCGGGCCCGCGCCCGCCGGAGACACCAACACGAACACUGUCUGAAGGUUGCAGUCUGAGUCGAUUUAUUUAAUCGUUAAAACUUUCAACAACGGAUCUCUUGGUUCCGGCAUCGAUGAAGAACGCAGCGAAAUGCGAUAAUUAAUGUGAAUUGCAGAAUUCAGUGAAUCAUCGAGUCUUUGAACGCACAUUGCGCCCCCUGGUAUUCCGGGGGGCAUGCCUGUCCGAGCGUCAUUGCUGCCCUCAAGCACGGCUUGUGUGUUGGGUCGCCGUCCCCUUCCCGGGGGACGGGCCCGAAAGGCAGCGGCGGCACCGCGUCCGGUCCUCGAGCGUAUGGGGCUUUGUCACCCGCUCUGUAGGCCCGGCCGGCGCCUGCCGACCACCAACCUUUUUUUAACCAGGUUGACCUCGGAUCAGGUAGGGAUACCCGCUGAACUUAAGCAUAUCAAUAAGCGGAGGAAA
rnacentral:rRNA from 1 species